CUACGGGGGGCUGCAGUGGGGAAUAUUGGACAAUGGGGGAAACCCUGAUCCAGCAAUGCCGCGUGUGUGAAGAAGGCCUGCGGGUUGUAAAGCACUUUCGGUUGGGAGGACUGCUUCUAGCACUAAUAUUGUUGGAAGUUGACGUUACCUUCAGAAGAAGCACCGGCUAACUCCGUGCCAGCAGCCGCGGUAAUACGGAGGGUGCAAGCGUUAAUCGGAAUUACUGGGCGUAAAGCGCGCGUAGGCGGCUAGAUCAGUCGGGUGUGAAAGCCCCGGGCUUAACCUGGGAACUGCAUCCGAUACUGUCUAGCUUGAGUACAGGAGAGGAGAGUGGAAUUCCACAUGUAGCGGUGAAAUGCGUAGAUAUGUGGAGGAACACCAAUGGCGAAGGCAGCUCUCUGGUCUGAUACUGACGCUGAGGUGCGAAAGCGUGGGGUGCAAACAGGAUUAGAUACCCGUGUAGUC
rnacentral:rRNA from 1 species